rnacentral:rRNA from 1 species
AUUGAACGCUGGCGGCAGGCUUAACACAUGCAAGUCGAGCGGAGAUGAGGUGCUUGCACCUUAUCUUAGCGGCGGACGGGUGAGUAAUGCUUAGGAAUCUGCCUAUUAGUGGGGGACAACAUUCCGAAAGGAAUGCUAAUACCGCAUACGCCCUACGGGGGAAAGCAGGGGAUCUUCGGACCUUGCGCUAAUAGACGAGCCUAAGUCGGAUUAGCUAGUUGGUGGGUAAAGGCCUACCAAGGCGACGAUCUGUAGCGGGUCUGAGAGGAUGAUCCGCCACACUGGGACUGAGACACGGCCCAGACUCCUACGGGAGGCAGCAGUGGGGAAUAUUGGACAAUGGGCGGAAGCCUGAUCCAGCCAUGCCGCGUGUGUGAAGAAGGCCUUUUGGUUGUAAAGCACUUUAAGCGAGGAGGAGGCUACUUAGAUUAAUACUCUAGGAUAGCGGACGUUACUCGCAGAAUAAGCACCGGCUAACUCUGUGCCAGCAGCCGCGGUAA